AACGAACGCUGGCGGCAUGCCUAACACAUGCAAGUCGAACGAAGCCUUCGGGCUUAGUGGCGCACGGGUGCGUAACGCGUGGGAAUCUGCCCUUGGGUUCGGAAUAACAGUUAGAAAUGACUGCUAAUACCGAAUGAUGUCUUCGGACCAAAGAUUUAUCGCCCAAGGAUGAGCCCGCGUCGGAUUAGCUAGUUGGUGAGGUAAAGGCUCACCAAGGCGACGAUCCGUAGCUGGUCUGAGAGGAUGAUCAGCCACACUGGGACUGAGACACGGCCCAGACUCCUACGGGAGGCAGCAGUGGGGAAUAUUGGACAAUGGGCGAAAGCCUGAUCCAGCAAUGCCGCGUGAGUGAUGAAGGCCUUAGGGUUGUAAAGCUCUUUUACCCGAGAUGAUAAUGACAGUAUCGGGAGAAUAAGCUCCGGCUAACUCCGUGCCAGCAGCCGCGGUAAU
rnacentral:rRNA from 1 species